CUACGGAGGGGGCUAGCGUUGUUCGGAAUUACUGGGCGUAAAGAGUUCGUAGGCGGACUGAUAAGUAAGAGGUGAAAUCCCAGGGCUCAACCCUGGAACUGCCUUUUAAACUGUCAGUCUAGAGACCGGAAGAGGUUAGGGGAAUACCUAGUGUAGAGGUGAAAUUCGUAGAUAUUAGGUGGAACACCAGUGGCGAAGGCGCCUAACUGGUCCGGUACUGACGCUGAGGAACGAAAGCGUGGGGAGCAAACAGGAUUAGAAACCCUAGUAGUCC
rnacentral:rRNA from 1 species